CGUACAUGGCAGGAACUUACCAGAGAUGGUUUUGGUGCUCGAAAGAGAACCUGCACACAGGUGCUGCAUGGCUGUCGUCAGCUCGUGUCGUGAGAUGUUGGGUUAAGUCCGCAACGAGCGCAACCCUUGCCAUUAGUUGCUACAUUCAGUUGAGCACUCUAAUGGGACUGCCGGUGACAAACCGGAGGAAGGUGGGGAUGACGUCAAGUCCUCAUGGCCCUUAUAGGUGGGGCUACACACGUCAUACAAUGGCUGGUACAAAGGGUUGCCAACCCGCGAGGGGGAGCUAAUCCCAUAAAGCCAGUCGUAGUCCAGAUCGCAGUCUGCAACUCGACUGCGUGAAGUCGGAAUCGCUAGUAAUCGUGGAUCAGAAUGUCACGGUGAAUACGUUCCCGGGUCUUGUACACACCGCCCGUCACACCAUGGGAGCGGGUCUCGCCAGAAGUAGGUAGCCUAACCGCAAGGAGGGCGCUUACCACGGCGGGGUUCGUGACUGGGGUGAAGUCGUAACAAGGUAAGCGUAGUGCU
rnacentral:rRNA from 1 species